AGUCGAGAAUCUUCGGCAAUGGGCGAAAGCCUGACCGAGCGACGCCGCGUGCGGGAUGAAGGCCCUCGGGUUGUAAACCGCUGUCGUAGGGGAGGAAGGCUCUGUGAAGAGCAGAGUUUGACCUAUCCUAGGAGGAAGUACGGGCUAAGUUCGUGCCAGCAGCCGCGGUAAUACGAACCGUACAAACGUUAUUCGGAAUCACUGGGCUUAAAGGGUGCGUAGGCGGCCACGUAAGUGAGAUGUGAAAGCCCUCGGCUCAACCGAGGAAGUGCAUUUCAUACUGCAUGGCUUGAGGGAGACAGGGGUAAGCGGAACUGAUGGUGGAGCGGUGAAAUGCGUUGAUAUCAUCAGGAACACCGGUGGCGAAAGCGGCUUACUGGGUCUCUUCUGACGCUGAGGUACGAAAGCUAGGGUAGCGAA
rnacentral:rRNA from 1 species